UAGAAUGCUAGGUGAGGGACUUGAAGAUGAUUAGACUUCAGUGGAACAAGAAGAUCUCACCACCCGUUUUUGUGUUGAAUCAGGCUGUCUUAGAGAAGGGAAGUGAGUAUCAGACUGUGGCCUUCAUCUCAAAGGUAAUUGAUGGGUAACAAGUUUUCUGAAAUCACAUUGUAGAACACAGUGCAGCAGGGACAUUAAAAUCAGGGGAAAAAAUGAAGGUCAUUUAGAUCAGAAAGAGUAAACAUGGCAAUGUGAUACACAGUGUAAAACUGUUAGAAAAUAAAUUGCAGCCUGCUUCAAACAAGGAACAAAAUGAUGCUCUUGCUGUCUUUAAUGAAUUUUCCCUUUUCCAAACUUUGAUGCCUGUGCCCUGCUGUGGAGGUUGGGAAUUCCCAGUGGCAGGGUAUUCUGCUUCCUUCCUCUUACCUACCAGACCUUUGCCCACUGAAAGCUUUUCACUUGUCAGUGGAAAAGUCCUGGAGGCAAAUGCACUUCAGCAAUAACACAGCUGAUAGAGGGGGAAAAAAAAAAAAAAAGAUGCCUCUGUACCUCAUCUUUAUUAAUUUUUUUGCCAUCUACCCAAUGGGAAAAUGUUUAUUUGUUUUAGUAUGUCUCCUUCUGAGUAACAAGCAGAAAAGCACUUUCAUCAUUCAUAAUGGCUAUUGUACUUUUUCUGUGUGUCUGUGGUAUGUUCUGACUUUAAUGUCAGUUUUCUCAGAGAUGAAAUUAUGGGAAAUUGGGUCUGCAGCAUCUGCAGCUUGCAGUAUAUGCUGUCACUGCUUUCAAGGGCUGCAUUUCAAGUCAAAGCUACAGUGUUUGCUCUCCCCAGAAAGGUGGAGCAACUGCAGUCUGUUGUUGCACUCUAAUCUCAGCAGGUAGAGAUUCAGCCAUUAAGCUCCUAUCAAGGUUAAUUAAAGUUCUGAAGGCAAAGGUUUGAAAUGCAGACAUGCUAGAGAGAAGCACAUUUCCUCUAAAGAUUAAAUACAAGUCAGUGGCUGAAGCUCUUUUCAGCUCCCUGUUAAUGCAAGUCUUUGUCCAGCUGAUUUUUUCUCACCAGAGUAAGACUUAAACAGCUCAAGACGUACAUUUGGUGAGCUGGGAUCCUCGUACUAGCUGAAGACCAUAAAUUAACCAGGAGCUAUCAGCUAGGAGAACAUGAUCAAACAAAAACAUAAAAAUAAACUCUUUAACAAUUCUAAGAUAUACCACAAUCAGACAGGAAUUGAAAAAAUGGAUAAAAAUAAGCACUGUGAUCUGAGAGCAUUUGCAUAAUCUUUUAAAAACAAACUAAGCACUUUUCCAUUCAGUUUCCCCCCUUUGUUUGUCCAAAGAGGGGGAAUAUUUAUGAAAGUGUUUCAUUUUUUAACAGCUUUACUGCACCAGCUUGGUCUUUCUAAAAUGAAAGAGAAGAUACAGCAUUUAAAAUACCACAGAAGAAGAAUAUUAGCCAACUGGAUGCUAACAAUUUCAUACAGAUGUCUGCUUAUCAUGCAAAUAGUUUAUUUAGAUGCAAAGACACAUUAGACUUCAAUGAUCAGAAAGUGAUAAAUGGUAGCUGCUUUAUGUUGAUCCAGUGUAUGUGAUCCGAAUGCCAGUGUGAUUUCUCUAGUACAUCAGAUAGCAACACUGAAAUAAGCAACAAAAAUUAGGGAUGUGUUAACUGUGUAUACAAAGGAGGCCUGAUUUCUAAUAUAGUGGGCAUUAGUAGUAGAUGGUACUGCAAAAGAACAGAUGCCUUUAAAUCAGCAAACAUUAUGCAAACAGAUGUUAACAAGACAAAGAUCUAAUUUCAUCUACUGUACUUUUAAUUCUCCUGCCAUGCUGACCACAUGCUUAUCUCUGACAUUUAAAAGGAGGCCUCAGCUAGUUAUAUAGUACUUUAUAAGCCGUGAUUUGCAAAAGGCCAAAUGGAUGCUAUUACUUUUGACUUCCAGAAAAUAAUAUAGCUUUUAGCCUUCUGUGGAACAUGAAUGUGUUUUCAUUAAAAUCUUAAACCUAAACUGCUUCUCAAUCUUUCCCCAAUAUCACAUGUAUUAUUUUUCUCCCUAAAUGAUGCCCAAAUCAUAAAACAUUGGUACGCCACUUUUAUCUAUUACUAUUCCUGACAAAGACUUAAUCAUCCUUAUAUCUAGUGCAGAGGUCUUGCAUAGAACUGUUGAUAGAUGCAUGAUGAAGGUCCUCCAUUUAAGGAUGGGUCAGAUAACCGUGUGUCUUAUCAUCACAUAUCCUGCAAGAGAACACUGUUCUCUGUGUGCUGAAAAGACCACAGAAUGUUUCAGCUCCUGGAAAACACAUCUUCAUACUAAAGCAAGUUAUUUCUGAAAGCAACAGAUGAAAGCAGAAGUCUUUUCUGUGACAAAGAUGAGCUGUUUACUAGUGCAAGUACCUGCAAGUGGGGGAAAAAAGUAAUUUAUAAAGGCCUUUCUGCUGUUUCUCAGUGGUUUUGUGUUGAAGGGAGCCACUCUACAUGUCAGACUAAAGUGGGUUGUUCACAUUGUUCAAUGUGACAGCAGUGAUAAAAAAUCCAUCUGAGGCAAUGUGUUGUCCAAGCAGUGGUUGUUCUUACAGCAUAUGCAUGUGUUUGAGAAGUCAAUGGUGUCAUCAGACAGAUGACUGACUAAGAAACAAAAAGCCCUCAUGGAUUUUACUGGAUUUGGGAUUUGACUGGGAAGGUGUGGCUGUACCACCUGCUAUUGAUAAGCACAUGAACACUGUUGCUCAUCAGCAUGUCUGAAAGUACCAACACAAGAGAGAAACAUUUUUCAGAGGGAACAGAUACUGUUCUCUUGACAUGAUUUCACCCUGUGCAUGCCUAUAUAUAAUUUUCUGCAUACUCCACCUGUGGAAGAGCUGUGCCUGUGAUGUGAUGGAGUAGUUUUUGCCCUGGUGAGAACAUCUGCGUGCAGAAGUGAAAUAACAGCAGGAGAAACUACCUGCAGAGACAUGAUUGCCUUAGAAUUAUCCCAGAAAUAUUAAACUCACAGUUUCUGCCUUUAUUUUAGCAUUAUUUUUGAUUUCUAUUUCUAUCUGGCUGUGCUUAGCCUGGCACUAUGCACACCGUGACUGAUACUCUCUCACCUAAGUGCCAGCUUUUGCUAGGUUGGGUGUGAAAACUGUAUCCAUGGGAUGCCUGGUUGAUUUAAGCAAAAUUGUCUGGCAUGCCAGACACCAGCCAGCAUCAAGCCUGAGAGGUACUCCGUGGAUGUGUCCGAACCUUGCAUAUUCUGCCCUGAAAGACGAGCAAAAACAAGCGAAUAUUAAGAGAGCAGCAUAGCAACCUCAGCCAGAUUUUCAGUGUGUGGUGUUAAAUAUAAAGGUGGCAUCAAUGAGUGUUUGGGGACACAAGAUCAAAGAAUGAAUACCCUUGGAGAGUGAGUAUUUCUGUCAUUUCCCCUACUGCUGUUAGUACUUUUCAUGUUACAUUGCACCUGCUGCUAUAGCAAUGCUUAUAAAUUUUGGAUUAGGACCCAUCCUCCUGACCCAGAAAUCUUAGGUUUAAUUGAGAUAAUGCAAAUAGUCAAUAAGGGAAAGGCCAGAGAUGGGUUUUACAGCAUCGGGUAAUCAGGCUGUUGGAGAGGUGGUGAAGCGCGACCACCUUCUGCUGUCAACACUGCUGUUCUUUGGCAAAUGUUUUUCUCUAGCAGAGACUUUUAUUGCGUUUGGAAAUCCUCAUCCAGAUAUAUGCUCGGGUUCACUGCAUUGGAAACCUGAACGAUGGAAGUUACUACAGUUUUAAUUGGUUCCACAGUUUACAUCAGAUGUGCAUUUAUUUACUACCCGAUCCAACCAGCCCACAAAGAACCAUGUCUGUCCCAAGUGACCUGAUUAGGAGGAGGGAAUGUGCCAGUAGAGACCAAAGAAAAGCUAAUUUUAUCAGGAAAGCUUGUCAUCAGAGCUUGGUGUGAAUCAGAAGCAAAUCGCUGGAAGUCCUGCUGUGAAACAGAACAAAAAUGACUUGAGGCUUUGCUGAGAUGGCUGCUUGGGUCUGGAGAAAGUACAUUGAGGAAUGUGCUAGCAGUAUUUGAUAUUUACUUAGAAAAGCUGAAAAUGAUUACGCAGAAGAGCAGAAGAAGUGUUUGCUUAGCAAUUUUUCUUCCAGUAAUGGGCUGAGAGGCAGCAAAAAAAGGCAGAAGAGAAACUCCCAGAAGGGGAUGUAGGUAGUUGCUGUGCUCAAGGUCGGGAAAGAGACAAUUCUUAGGUGAAGCAGCUCAUAGAGGGUGGUUGAGGCACCUAAUUUUGCCACUUAAGCACUCACCCAUCCCCAGACAAUAGGAACUAUUUUGGACUUCUGGGAUUCAGCAGCCUUGUGUCCGUGUCAAGCAUGGCAGGGAUGGCAUUUUGCAGUUGAUGCUGUGAGAUGUCUCUGCUUCUCUGCAAACAGUUAAAGCUAAAGCCUAAAGUCAGGAUGAACUCCACUGGCUGAAGUCUUUGAGGAGCUUAUUUUGGUAAAAGCACGUGGUCACACGCUCCCAAAGGAUGGUGGGAGGAAGACACAGCCCCACUUUUGCGGUCAUUUUCUCCACAAAUUGGGUUUGCACAGGAUGAAUUCAGGCUAUUCAAGAUGGAUUCUAGACACACAAGUAGAAGACAGAACAAAAAGCUACCAACAGUGUACACAAUUCUGGAGGGUAAAACCUUUACUAAUCUAAACCAGUGGGGACAGCAAGAUCAGGUACUGCAAGGACAGAUGAAUAUGGAAACUCCUUUGUAAAGAUCUUGGGUUUCAAAAGAUAAUCUCCAAAAUCUCCUUAAAUCAUACUAGAUGUAACUGUCAUGUGUCUCAUGGGUCAUCAGGGACCAUGUCUUACCCUUCAAGCCUCCCACAGAUUUUGUGCUUAUACAGAAUAUGCAUUUCAGUGCUGCGGUUACAAAGAAUUUUUGAUACAAACCAUGGAAAAUAUGCUGUUACAAAUAAAUUCCUUGAUCUCAAGGAAUAUGGGAGAAAAAAAUGUCAUUUCUUAAUGAACACAAUUGCCUGCUGAACUCUAGCCCCAAGAAGUUUGCUCUCAUCAACAGGGGCUGAGAAUGCUGCAAAAAUGCUCAUGAGGGAUAACACAAGCCAACUAGAUUGAUGUCUUGUAAGCAAAAUCUCUGUCCUGAAAACUGCUGUUUUCCACAGCAUCCUGGUCCCAAGUGCCAGUGAGGGCACAGGGUGAGGGCUGGGUUAGGGUUAGGGUGGACACAGCCCUGUUCUCCUGUGUGCUGCCCUGUAGUGCUGAGCCAGCUGGGCUGGAGUAAAAAGAUGCCUACUCUCAGAAAAGAGUCUUGUAGCAACUUCCAAAGUCAAAGCAGAACCAACUGUUAAGUUUAAU